rnacentral:sRNA from 1 species
AACAAACAAAAAACCAACCUGGCUAUUCCUAGGAAUGAUAAAAUAUCUUCCUUUGUAGAAGGAACAGUUAGAGAAUGGAUCAGAAUCUUUCUAUCUAGGGUAAUAGCUUUUUAGGUUGGGGUAAUUGUUCGUCCCAAAUAGAUGACCAAAGGACUGGACUUUAGAAGGUGAGACCCUGUAACCUUUACUGAAAAUGAAAUUCAGAAGAGCAGAGGUGUCAGUUUGGCAAAUUUUUUGAGAGGGGUUACACAGAAGAAUGCAAUCUAUAUAGUGGACAGUCCUAGAUUUAGGGAGAGAAAGAGAGAAGGUAAUUCAGAAACCAGGGCCUGGCCAAAUUGGUGUGGGCUGUGCUGGAAUCUCUGAGGUAGAACAGUCCAGGUAAGUUGUGUAGAAAAGUGGGUGUCAGGAUCUGUUCAGGAAAAGGCAAAUAUGUUCUGUGACUGGGUAUCUAGAGGGAUAGAGAAAGUAGCAUCCGGAGAUCUAAGAUUGAGAAAUGAGAAUUCCCCAAGGGGAUAGUGGGAAGAAGUGUAUAAGGAUUAGCCACAACAGGAUGUACAGGAACUAUGGCAGAAUUAAUGGACCUGAGGUUUUGAACCAGGAGAUAGGUUCCACUAAGUUUCCUAACUGCUAAUGUAGGGGUUUUAAAGGGGGAAGAGGUAGGGCAAAGGAGGUUUUUCCUUAAGAGAUCAGAGGUGAUAUACUUAAGGCCCCUGAGGCUCUGGAGUGAAAGCAGGUAUUGAGGUUGGGUGAUGUACCUGGUAGAAUUCAGUAAUUGCUUGACAACAGGAGAAUGUUUAGCAGCAGAGGGGUUCUGGACAUCCCUGACAAGGAGGUCUACUUGAGAAGCUGGCCAGAAGUCAACUUGCAUUAGAAAAUGUGCUAUUACCAAGAAGCAUGUCACCAAGACAACCGAAUAGAACUGUCCAGAGUAUGUCCUUCUGCAGAAAUAUCAAUUGAGACAACUAUCCAGGCAUGAAAUACCUUCAUAAGAACUAAACAAAACAGGGAAAGCUCCUUAAACCAGAAGAGAGUUGUGGCAAAAAAAGACACACUCAACCAAGAGUUGCGAUGAAAGCAAUGUGUCACAUGAAUUGCCAAUACUUACACUAGUUAAAAGAAGAAAGAAACAAAAGAAAAUAGAGCAUCAUUAUAUAAAAGAGUCAACUUAUCAAGCAGAACCAUCCCUUUAUUCUUCUUCUUUCCCCUACAAUGAAGUGAUUCUUUACAACAUCCUGUGCUCCUUUUAAAGCCCAUUGGUUCCUUGUGGUGCUGUCAGAAUGUACAUGAGGAACGUCUACUGAAGAAAGGAAAGCCUCUCAGAAGCCAAAUACCUGAAGAAAACUCACUCUGCCUCUCAUAAGAAUCCAUCAGUGGCCAAUAUCACCUCAGUGUUUCCACAGGACGUAUCCCAGAUGAUUGAGUCGGGGGAAAGUCUACAAAAGUUUGGAUGUUGAUUAUUUCCUAAUAUCCCAGAAAUGAGAGGAAAGCCUAAACAUGAUCUAGGAUUAAGGAUACCAGCUUUUGCAGAAGAACUAAAACAACUACCCAUGUCUAAACAAGCAACUACUAGACUCUUGGGCUUCCCAUUCACAACUGCCCAUUGUUGGGUUAGCUGGACUACUGACUAGUCACCAGCCAACAAACAGGCAUUAAAUUCACCAUCCUAAGGAAAUUAUUCAUACUCAAAACAUAACAGCCAAAAGUCAUGCACUUGAAGACUUCUGUCUCUACUCCUCUAUUCUACGGAUAAAGUGAAACCAUAACUUUCAGGAAAAGAAAACAUGAGAAUGUAGAUUACAAAAGUCGGAACUGACAAAAUACAUAAAGACCAUGGGAUGGAAUUUACAUUUUGAGGAUGGCAGAGUAAUGAAUCAGAAAGAGCCUUUGACACCAACGACUCACAGGAAGUCCCAACAUGUCUCCUUAAUAUCUUCAUAGUGGUCAUAUCAUUUGAAUAUGAAGAAGAAAAAGAGCAGGUGGAGCCUGACAAGAUCUUCCUGGCUGUUGACCUGCGCAGCUGGAGAAAUCACUAUUGCAGCACAGCUGGACCUGUGGGUUGUGAGAGCUGUGGCUUCGACUUUUACAGAAAAGAUUCUGCUGAAGAGAAUGAGAAGGAAGAGCAUACAUGGCCAAGAACCUGCAGGGUAUAAAAGACCCCAGCACCCAGAUGGAAAGGUGGAGCCCACCCUCUCCCAAAAUACUUCAUUUCUCCAAAAAACCUUAUGAUGACACUCUUAAGAAAGAAUACAUGAAUUCCAAAGUUCGACUGUGAGUUUCUCUACAGGAUGCUGGAUAACAGAGAGCAUUUAAGCAAGUACUCUGUAUGAGAUAAAAUGUAUGCUAUAGUGGGCUAACUACUGGGUAUUUUCAUUGCUAUAUUAGCUGGAUAAAGGUAUUGUAUUUGAAA